CCUACGGGAGGCAGCAGUGAGGAAUAUUGGUCAAUGGGCGCGAGCCUGAACCAGCCAAGUAGCGUGAAGGAUGACUGCCCUACGGGUUGUAAACUUCUUUUAUAAAGGAAUAAAAUGAGGCACGUGUGCCUUUUUGUAUGUACUUUAUGAAUAAGGAUCGGCUAACUCCGUGCCAGCAGCCGCGGUAAUACGGAGGAUCCGAGCGUUAUCCGGAUUUAUUGGGUUUAAAGGGAGCGUAGUUGGGUUGUUAAGUCAGUUGUGAAAGUUUGCGGCUCAACCGUAAAAUUGCAAUUGAUACUGGCAGCCUUGAGUACAGUUGAGGUAGGCGGAAUUCGUGGUGUAGCGGUGAAAUGCGUAGAUAUAACGAGGAACACCAGUGGCGAAGGCAGAUUGCUGGACAGUAACUGACGCUGAGGCGCGAAAGCGUGGGGAGCAAACAGGAUUAGAUACCCGAGUAGUC
rnacentral:rRNA from 1 species